rnacentral:rRNA from 1 species
GACGAACGCUGGCGGCGUGCCUAAUACAUGCAAGUCGAACGCAGUUUCUUUCACCGUAGCUUGCUACACCGACAGAAAAUGAGUGGCGAACGGGUGAGUAACACGUGGGUAACCUGCCCAUCAGCGGGGGAUAACACUUGGAAACAGGUGCUAAUACCGCAUAAUUCCAUUUACUGCAUGGUAGAUGGAUGAAAGGCGCUUUUGCGUCACUGAUGGAUGGACCCGCGGUGCAUUAGCUAGUUGGUGGGGUAACGGCCUACCAAGGCUGCGAUGCAUAGCCGACCUGAGAGGGUGAUCGGCCACACUGGGACUGAGACACGGCCCAGACUCCUACGGGAGGCAGCAGUAGGGAAUCUUCGGCAAUGGACGCAAGUCUGACCGAGCAACGCCGCGUGAGUGAAGAAGGUUUUCGGAUCGUAAAACUCUGUUGUUAGAAAAGAACAAGGAUGAGAGUGGAAAGUUCAUCCCUUGACGGUAUCUAACCAGAAAGCCACGGCUAACUACGUG